UGAGGAAUAUUGGUCAAUGGGGGCAACCCCGAACCAGCCAAGUCGCGUGAAGGAUGAAGGUCUUAUGGAUUGUAAACUUCUUUUACACGGGAAUAAAGCGGGGGACGUGUCCCUCUUUGCAUGUACCGUGUGAAUAAGGAUCGGCUAACCCCGUGCCAGCAGCCGCGGUAAUACGGAGGAUCCGAGCGUUAUCCGGAUUUAUUGGGUUUAAAGGGUGCGCAGGCGGGAUGUUAAGUCGGCGGUGAAAUUUUGCAGCUCAACUGUAAAAGGGCCUUCGAUACUGGCCUUCUUGAGUGUGGAUGAAGUAGGCGGAAUUUGUGGUGUAGCGGUGAAAUGCUUAGAUAUCACGAGGAACUCCGAUUGCGCAGGCAGCUUACUAAGCCACAACUGACGCUCAUGCACGAAGGCGUGGGGAUCAAACA
rnacentral:rRNA from 1 species